AAGGAUCUGGGCUGAGAGGAAUCAGUUGGACUCUAUGUGGGCCUUGAACACAGGGCUUCUUCCAGCCUGUGGGGAUUUUGAAGUCGGAAGAAGUCCAGUUUUCACCCAAAAUGUGGCCCGAUGGACGAAUACCCCCCUCAAGUCCAAUUUGGUAUGAUUUUAACCCCCAAAUUCUUAAAACCAGAUAAAUCUUUCCCUAGGCGGUUUUGCUGCUGAUUUUAGGCGGUUUCUGGUUUGAUCUUGUGAUGUGGCUUGCUCCUUUGCUCUCUCCUAGUCGUUUCGCCCCUUCUUGCCAGUUGCCGUCGGCGCCGCCGCCAUGGGCAAGAAAGAUACAAACUGCUGUCGUGCAUGGAACAGUCUCGUCAGAGUGAUGCCUGGCUUCUGACGCCACCGUCAAGGCACAAGGUCACCACCAACGGCAAGUUGGCAACGAGUCCAGCCGCGCCGAGCUACGCGAGGCCACCGUCCUCCAGCACGCUGCGAUGGCCAACCUCAUGGGCCUCCUCCGCAGGCUUAGUGGUAUCACGUAGCUCGCCGCAGAUGUGUUCCACGACCUGCACGACCAUGCCACGACCACGUCUUCGCGGGCACGUGGCCUCACGCUGCAGGCGCAGUAGCUUGACGCAAAGCUAUCGCUCGUUGAGGAACGUCUCUGUCGACGUGAGAACAAAUGACUCUUCUUCCUGCAAUAGGAUGUUGUCGUUGCUUGUAGCAUUCAUACAUCUUGUAGUAAGCAGACCAAGGACGAGGGCGAAAUUAGGGUUGAGGAAUUGGACA